UGCAUUCACUUCUGUGAGUCGCUCUGGAUAAGAGCAUCUGCUAAAUGACUAAAA
rfam:Salmo salar isolate Sally breed double haploid chromosome ssa01, whole genome shotgun sequence.